CAAGUCGAACGGCAGCACGGGGGCAACCCUGGUGGCGAGUGGCGAACGGGUGAGUAAUGUAUCGGAACAUGUCCGGAAGUGGGGGAUAACGUAGCGAAAGUUACGCUAAUACCGCAUAUGCCCUGAGGGGGAAAGGAGGGGAUCGUAAGACCUUUCGCUUUCGGAGUGGCCGAUAUCAGAUUAGCUUGUUGGUGAGGUAAAGGCUCACCAAGGCGACGAUCUGUAGCUGGUCUGAGAGGACGACCAGCCACACUGGGACUGAGACACGGCCCAGACUCCUACGGGAGGCAGCAGUGGGGAAUUUUGGACAAUGGGGGCAACCCUGAUCCAGCCAUGCCGCGUGAGUGAAGAAGGCCUUCGGGUUGUAAAGCUCUUUCAGCCGGAAAGAAAUCGUGCAACCUAAUACGUUGUAUGGAUGACGGUACCGGAAGAAGAAGCACCGGCUAACUACGUGCCAGCAGCCGCGGU
rnacentral:rRNA from 1 species